GGAAGCCACAUGGUCACUAAGAGAAACUAGACCUUGUAGCCAGCUUAAGACCUGGAGGGUCCCAGCCUCAAGGGUCGAGCCCACUGUUCCGUCCAGGUUGGUGAGUCUGCCGCAGGAAAAGUGAAACAGACUUGGUUGAAGGAAAGAAAGAAAAUCGUGUGUGACUGUCUCCACUGCUAGAAAUAAGUGCCACAAAGGCAGGAGUUUGUUUACUCACAUGUUCUGAUGGCCUGACAUGAAGCAGGUGCUCUGUAAUAUGUGUUAAAGAAAUAAAUGAAUUACAUGUUGAAGAAAUGGGUCUUGACGCUCUGUGGAGAGAAGACUUCUAUAGAAGGGAGAGGGGAAGCAGGAAGACCAGUUAGGAGCCUGGCCUUGCAUUGAGGAAAAAAUCGGAAUUUCAGGUGAUCACUUGUUAGUUCCCAAGUUUCUGGCCUUAAGAGUUAAGCACGUCUUCAGCCCUAAAGAAGCAGUUUCAAGCAGUUGUGCUGUCAGCUUGAAGCGUUUGGAAACUGGCCAGAACUGCUUAAGAAUCGUUUUCCUUCUUGUUCUCUUCCUUGCUGCCAGGCUCGCUCAGAGAGUCCAUUUGCAGAAUCAAAUGAAAAUCUAGCUCUUUCAUGCAAACCUUCCUGAAGCAGUAGGGCUGUGUUUGGACACGAGAGCGAAGGCUCCUGUAAUGGAAGCCCUGAGGGUGAUUUCUCCCUACCCCGAGCUUGGCAAGGUCCUCUCCACCACGGAGCGAUGACAUGGAGGAUCAAACAGCUCUCUCCAAGCCAGGCCCCAUCAGACUUGCCUUUUCUAAAUAUAGUGCACUUCAGUAAACACCGUGUGAAUCUGCAGUUCGCCUGCUGGGAAAUGCAUUGUCACCUCCAUCACAAUUUUGUGCACGUGUGUAAAUGCACCAAGUUGUAACAACCAAAAAUGUCUCCAGACGCU
rnacentral:lncRNA from 1 species